GGGUUUGGAUAAAUGAAUUAGUGUUUAAUCCAGUUUUGUUUUUAAACUAAGGUUAAAUUUGUGCCAGCAGCCGCGGUUAGACUGGUGUAGUAAGUGGAAAAUGUUAAGUUAGUGGUUAGAGAAUACAAAUAAAAAAUUUAGGUAAUUAUAAUUUAUUGUAAGGUGAAAUUUUCAUGGAGAGAUAUUUCUUUUGUUUUUAUUGGGUUUGAAGCCAUAAAGAUUUAAGUUAAAAAUAGGAUUAGAUACCCUAGUAUAUUUAAUUAUAAUUUGGUAAACUUGAUUAGUAUUAGUUAUGGACUUGAAAUUUAAAGAAUUUGGCGGCAUUUUAGCCCGGUUAGAGGAACCUGUCUUUUAAACGAUAAACCACGAAAUAUCUUACUUUUUUUUGUUUUAUCAGUAUGUAUACCGUCAUUUUUGGAACAAUUUAAAUAGAAAUUAGUUUGGAGGAAUAAAAAAUAAAGUUCAUAAAAUUAGAUCAAGGUGCAGCUUAUAAAAAAGUAAAGGUGGGUUACAAUAAUUUUAAAUUAAAACGGAUUAAUAAGGGAAGAUUUCAUUUAUGAAGGAGGAUUUAACAGUAAGUAAAAAAUAAUAAGUUUUAUUGAUGGAGGUUCUGAAAUGUGUACACAUCGCCCGUCGCUCUCAUAAGGGAACAUGAGAUAAGUCGUAACAAAGUAGGUGUACUGGAAGGUGUACCUAG
rnacentral:rRNA from 1 species